rnacentral:tRNA from 1 species
GCCUGGCUGGCUCAGAAGAGCAUGGGACUCUUGAUCCCAGGGUCAUGAGUUUAAGCCCCAGGUUGGGCA